UACGGAAUUUUAGCUAAUCCACGAAGCAACCUACCACCUCCUAGAAACAUUUGAUGUCGAAAAUAAUCGACGAAACUGGAAAUAAAACUGACCGUACAAGAUGAUGACGACGUCAACCAAUUAUGAGACAACAUUCCAUGUACAUUCCCGGUCGAGAAACAAGUCGACGCUAAUCUUAUACUGCCUGACCUCUUGUAGGUGCUAAUGUAAGCCUGCAGACGUUUUGUAGUUUCCUGUACGCUUAUACUAAGAAAAAAAAACGCUUUACAAAAGAAUUAAAAAUUACCUUGUAAAUGUGCUUGCUUAAGUUUCUGAUUUUUCCAGUACCGAAACACUCUCUUGCCAGAUGGCAUGGGCCUUGUGCCUUGCGCGAACAGACAAGCCACAUGCACAGAUGAUGACCCUACGGUAAUGGACGCCAACUCAGCGCUUUCACACCAAU